CGCCCGUGAGGGAUGAAGGCCUCUGGGCUGUAACCUCUUUUAUCAAGGAAGAAGAUCUGACGGUACUUGAUGAAUAAGCCACGGCUAAUUCCGUGCCAGCAGCCGCGGUAAUACGGGAGUGGCAAGCGUUAUCCGGAAUUAUUGGGCGUAAAGCGUCCGCAGGCGGUCUUUUAAGUCUGUCGUCAAAGCGUGGAGCUUAACUCCAUUUCUGCGAUGGAAACUGGAAGACUAGAGUGUGGUAGGGGCAGAGGGAAUUCCCGGUGUAGCGGUGAAAUGCGUAGAUAUCGGGAAGAACACCAGUGGCGAAGGCGCUCUGCUGGGCCAUAACUGACGCUCAUGGACGAAAGCCAGGGGAGCGAAAGGGAUUAGAUACCCCUGUAGUCCUGGCCGUAAACGAUGAACACUAGGUGUCGGGGGAAUCGACCCCCUCGGUGUCGUAGCCAACGCGUUAAGUGUUCCGCCUGGGGAGUACGCACGCAAGUGUGAAACUCAAAGGAAUUGACGGG
rnacentral:rRNA from 1 species